UAAGCAUACCGGAAGGUGUGCUUGGAAACGAAGCAUAGUUUAAUAAAACCCCCUGCUUACACCAAGAAAUCACCCGUGAAACUCGGAUUGCUUCGAGCCUAAAUUUUAGCCGUAACACACCUAAUGAACUCUCUCCACCACAAAUUUUCCCCUAAAACAUUCUAACACUCAAGUAAAGGUGAUUGAAAAACUUCUUAGAGCUAUAAACAGUACUGCAAAGGAACAUUGAAAUAGAAAUGAAAUAAUACAAAAGCCCAACGUAGUAGAGACCCCCCCUCGUACCUUUUGCAUCAUGAUUUAGCAAGUCUAAGCAAGCAAAAAGAACUAUAGUUUGCCCCCCCGAAACCAAGUGAGCUACUCCAAGGCAACUAGUAGAGUCAACCCGUCUCUGUGGCAAAAGAGUGGGAAGACCUUUGAGUAGAGGUGAUAAGCCUAUCGAACUUGGUGAUAGCUGGUUACUCAAGAAACGGAUAUUAGUCCGACCUUAAGCCAACAUGACACAACCUAGUACCCCCCACGCUUAAGAGUCAGUCAAAUAAGGUACAGCUUAUUUGACACAGGAUACAGCCUAAGCCCCGGGGUAAUGAGCCCACCCUGUGACCAAGUGGGCCUAAAAGCAGCCACCUUAAAAUAGCGUCAAAGCUUAUUCACUUAAACACCCUAAUACCUCGCCCGCCACAGAACCCCCACCCACCACCGAGUGACCCCAUAAUUAUAUGGGAAACAUUAUGCUAGAAUUAGUAACGAGAGGGUUCAACCCUCUCCUAAGUGUGUGUGUAAAUCAGAGCGGACCCCCCACUGAUAAUUAACACCCGUAAAACCGUGGCAGCAACCUACAAGAAAACCCUGCCCCCAACUAACGUUAACCUGACACAAGAACACUUCAAGAAAGAUUAAAAGGGCAGGAAGGAACUCGGCAAAAAUCAACCCCGCCUGUUUACCAAAAACAUCGCCUCUUGACACUAUAAGAGGUCCAGCCUGCCCAGUGACUCUGUUCAACGGCCGCGGUAUUCUGACCGUGCGAAGGUAGCGUAAUCAUUUGUUCUUUAAUUAAGGACCAGUAUGAAUGGCACCACGAAGGUUGUACUGUCUCCCCCCCCUAAUCCGUGAAAUUAAUCUUCCCGUGAAGAAGCGGGAAUAAAAAUAUAAGACGAGAAGACCCCAUGGAGCUUGAAACAAAAAGCACCCGUAACCACCAAGUUUCACGCACUGUCUCAUAGUUUUCGGUUGGGGCGACCACGGAGAACAAUUUAACCUCCACGCUGAACGAUUUUAUAUCUUAACCAAAAGUUUACCACUUUAAGCAUUAGUAUUCUAACAACCAUUGACCCAAUAUAUUGAUCAACGAACCAAUGUUACCCUGGGGAUAACAGCGCAAUCUACUUCAAGAGCCCCUAUCGACAAGUGGGUUUACGACCUCGAUGUUGGAUCUGGGUACCCAAGUGGUGCAGCAGCUACUAACGGUUCGUUUGUUCAACGAUUAAAACCCU
rnacentral:rRNA from 1 species